CUUCCACGUUCUCCUCUGUCACACACUUCCUCUCCAGCUGCAUCUAAUCUCUGCUUAAUGAACUCUCCAUUCAAAGCCAGCCAACACACGCCAGUUGUCAGGUUGUCUGCGGCAGAGGCACCGUGCCAGCGCUCAUAAGGCAUCUGUCACAGAUUCUCCAUCAGCCUCGUUCGCUGGGACGUGGCCCAUCGUGCAGCGAGUGCCUUUGAAUCGAAGGGCUAUUUAUUAGAUGAAUGUGAUGACCAGCCAAGUUGUGCAGAGGAGUCGCAGGCGUCGACCGACUGGCUGACGCAUGAAAAGCUGCGGCGCGAAGGUGCCUGCUCAGAAAGUCUUCAACAAAAGUUGCUAACUUAUGGUUGUUAAACCAAAGCAAGUGGGGAAAAAUGCAGAUUUUAAUAUGUAAAUGCCACAGACCUGCCCUCCUGACACGCGGAGCAGCGUGGAAACAGGCGGCGCUGGCAGGUCUUGGCAGCAGACGCCUCGGACCCGUCUCAUAUCUGCCUGAUCUGUGAUCCUGUCAACUUCACCGAGUCUCUGAGUUCAGAGGUGAGGACCUUCUGCCUCUCUCCCACAUGGACACAGACAAUGGCUCAAGAUGAGUUGGCCUCCUAAUCAUAAUGUCUGUCUGGCGCAUCGUCAACCAAAGAGGAGCCGUGUUCUGCUCUUGUCUGACCAGCUCGUCCAUCAGUUCGCCGCUGAGGAAAAUGUCUUUGCUAAGUCGAUUCCCAAGGGUGCGAGAGGAUGAAGCGUGAGGGGUGAGGAGGCCUUUUCUGUAGGCAGCUGGGACCAUUUCAAUGAACACCCAGAAUGGAAUCCAUCUGGGGCGUCCUGGGAGGCCAUGGUGGCUGGAUGAGGCGAACGGCCCUCCGGCCCCCUGCGAUUAGCUGGAGCACUUCCCAGGAAGAGACGAGACGGAGGGAAAUCAUCUGGCUCGUACCCGGGCAUUAGCUUGACUGCUCCCAUAAAGAAACCUGAGGGGAGAUUCAUCUGCUCAAAGUUUCUUUGAGCUCGGCUGCCUCUUUGUUUAUCGGCAUCCUGAUGUUUGUCCUCUUUCCACUUCAGAGAGCACUGAGCAGAUAGUCGACAGCACGCAUUUGCCUUUUUUCUAACAAGUCCAAUGUGAUUUCACAUACAACGCGUCACAGCUCUUUCCCUUAGACGUUAUGCGAAGACACAAGGCACUAAUAGACUUGUUAAAACCAAUUUAUUAUACAUGUGCUGUUGCCACGGUCACCAUUCACUACUUUAUUCCUCCACAAAGUAGGCCUAUGUAGUGGUCAGGGGCUUUAUAAUGAUUAUGGAGAUCAGAGGAGUAAAGAACUGUUGAUGUGAUGAGAUCUUUGUUCAUAUUAAACAGGUGAUGGAUCAUUUAAACAUUACAAGGAGCCAGUGUUAGAUUGAAUUCUCGUACAUUGCCUUAAUUAGAUUUAGGUCUAUGAGUCCAUCACCAAUUUAAAAGUCGUGACAGGAAAUUAGUUACUCUGGUCUUAAUUUGAUCAAAAUAAGAUAUGGGGGAAUGUAUCAAAUAUUUAUUCCCAGCCAAGAUUUUCUAGGCUUACAUUUUUCAGUCGGUUACUAAAAUAAAGGCUGAUUAAUAAUGGUCGCUAACAACUGCAGCUGCCAAAAGAAUACGGCUCUUUGACAGUUGUGAAUACGAAAUUAAAGCCCCGAUCAAAACUGUCACAAUAUUCAAGCAGACAUUUCCACAGCGUGACGGUUCGUCUACACGGGGGAAAUGGGAGGUACAGUCUUUAAGUGUCACAGCUUAAUUGCAACAUGGUGAUAUUUAUGGGUUUUAUUCCCAUUUUGGAGUUGCUGCUUUUUUCUGAUGCUGCUUCGCUUUGACAACAUAUAUAUACUAUAUGUCACUGCAGCAGCAGCAGCAGCAGCGGGGAACACGCCACCAGUCUGCACUUCAGAGCCUGGAAUUGUUUCAUGGACAAUGAAGCAGCGUUUUUAUGAGCAGGCGACUGGAAUGAAAUGACUGAUGCUGGUCCGGAGCGAGCCUGCGGGGCUGGAGGGCCAUGCGCAAUGAACCGCUCUCUGGGGAAAUGCCGGAGGAGGUGUUAUACGGCCGGCUUUCUGAAGAGACUGUAGAUAUAACCUGGAGAACAGUAGAUUAGAAGUCGCUCCGGGGUGAAUGCUCUUAAGGAUGAACUGCUCCUGAGACAAUCACGAUAAAAAGCCUCCGUAGAAGGCGCAGGUUGUACAGUGACAUUAAGCGAAAUAUGCU